rnacentral:rRNA from 1 species
UACGUAGGUGGCAAGCGUUGUCCGGAUUUACUGGGCGUAAAGCGAACGCAGGCGGAUCGUUAAGUAAGAAGUGAAAGGUUGGAGCUCAACUCCGACACUGCUUCUUAUACUGGCGGUCUUGAGUUUCGGAGAGGAAGAUGGAACGACACGUGUAGCGGUGAAAUGCGUUGAGAUGUGUCGGAACACCAAUGGCGAAAGCAAUCUUCUGGACGAACACUGACGCUCAUGUUCGAAAGCCAAGGUAGCGAACAGG